CGUUAAGAAGUGAAAAUGACGCCGAUUCUGAUUCCUUGAGCACAGCAGACAAAUGGUCUGCAUCUGCUUGUGAAGAAGGAUCCAAAGAACAGCGUGCUAGAUCCUCACUGAAGUUUUCAUCAGCGAAAACUGUUGGGAUUGGAUACAUUUAUUCAUCCUCAGAAGAUGAGGAUGUCUGUCCAACCUGCCUUGAAGAAUAUACACCAGAGAACCCCAA
rnacentral:misc_RNA from 1 species